UAAAAUUCUAUUAAAUUGAAGUAGUAUUUGUUAAGUUCUUGAAAUUUAAAAAAUUUGGCGGUGUUUUAGUCUUUUCAGAGGAACCUGUUCUGUAAACGAUAGUCCACGAUUAAAUUUACUUAGUUUAAAAAUUUGUAUAUCGUUGUUAUUAAAUAUUUUAAAAGAAUUAUAAUAUUUAAGAAUUUAUAUUAAAAAGAAUUUCAAAUCAAGGUGCAGUUUAUAAUUAAGAAGAAAUGGGUUACAAUAAAAUUAUUUAUUAUGAAUUUUAAUUUUAAAUGUUUUUUGAAAGAGGAUUUGAAAGUAAUAAAAUUUAUAUAAAUUUUAUGAUUUUAGCUCUCAAAA
rnacentral:rRNA from 1 species